rnacentral:rRNA from 1 species
GGGGAGCUUGCUCCCUGGUGGCGAGCGGCGGACGGGUGAGUAAUGCAUAGGAAUCUGCCCGGUAGUGGGGGAUAACGUGGGGAAACCCACGCUAAUACCGCAUACGUCCUACGGGAGAAAGCGGAGGAUCUUCGGACUUCGCGCUAUCGGAUGAGCCUAUGUCGGAUUAGCUAGUUGGUAAGGUAACGGCUUACCAAGGCGACGAUCCGUAGCUGGUCUGAGAGGAUGAUCAGCCACACUGGGACUGAGACACGGCCCAGACUCCUACGGGAGGCAGCAGUGGGGAAUAUUGGACAAUGGGCGAAAGCCUGAUCCAGCCAUGCCGCGUGUGUGAAGAAGGCUUUCGGGUUGUAAAGCACUUUCAGCGAGGAAGAAAGCCUCUGGGUUAAUACCCCAGAGGAAGGACAUCACUCGCAGAAGAAGCACCGGCUAACUCCGUGCCAGCAGCCGCGGUAAUACGGAGGGUGCGAGCGUUAAUCGGAAUUACUGGGCGUAAAGCGCGCGUAGGUGGCUUGGCACGCCGGUUGUGAAAGCCCCGGGCUCAACCUGGGAACGGCAUCCGGAACGGCCAGGCUAGAGUGCAGGAGAGGAAGGUAGAAUUCCCGGUGUAGCGGUGAAAUGCGUAGAGAUCGGGAGGAAUACCAGUGGCGAAGGCGGCCUUCUGGCCUGACACUGACACUGAGGUGCGAAAGCGUGGGUAGCAAACAGGAUUAGAUACCCUGGUAGUCCACGCCGUAAACGAUGUCGACUAGCCGUUGGGACCUUUAAGGACUUAGUGGCGCAGUUAACGCGAUAAGUCGACCGCCUGGGGAGUACGGCCGCAAGGUUAAAACUCAAAUGAAUUGACGGGGGCCCGCACAAGCGGUGGAGCAUGUGGUUUAAUUCGAUGCAACGCGAAGAACCUUACCUACCCUUGACAUCCAGAGGACUUUCCAGAGAUGGAUUGGUGCCUUCGGGAACUCUGAGACAGGUGCUGCAUGGCUGUCGUCAGCUCGUGUUGUGAAAUGUUGGGUUAAGUCCCGUAACGAGCGCAACCCUUGUCCUUAUUUGCCAGCGAUUCGGUCGGGAACUCUAAGGAGACUGCCGGUGACAAACCGGAGGAAGGUGGGGACGACGUCAAGUCAUCAUGG